ensembl:lncRNA
GUCCCCUGCCUCCGGGUGGCCCUGCCCCUCCCUGGGCCGUGUCACCGUGCAGCUCCUCCCGUCGAGAGAUGGAAUCUGCUUCCCCAGCCCCCAAACUGGACCCCGCAGCUCGCGGUGGCCGGUCAAACGCAGCCAGGCGAGCGUGUCCGGGUUCCCAGACAACGCCUUCAGGGCCUCUGAGGGUUUCUCUUCUCGCUCUGGCUUCUCUGCCUCCUCUGCAAGAACAUGCCCGGGCCGGCCCGCGGCGGGGUGCGGGAUGCGAGGGAAAGGUCGAGAAGAACUGAGUCAUCCCGGCUGGAGUCAUCCUCGACCAGCCAGCCUCUCGAGGGCCCGCCAGACGACGGCAGCUUCAUGAGCGAGCUCCGCCGGGGUCCACAGAGCCUGGCCCGGAUUAGCAGAACUGUCCAGAGGACCCAAAGAGACGUUUCUCUUCUGGCCAAGCCUAACCCGGAACCACGGAUGGAAGGGCACUCUGAGACACGAGGCCCUGUCUCAGCUACGUUGUCACAAGGUGCAGCCAUUGCGGGCGCAGAGGGACGUCUUUGUCCAUCAGAUGGCGGCCCUGCCCCGCGUGUGGCCCUCAGUGGGGUCCAGCGACUUCACGAGCCUCGAGCUCCCUACUGGGGCACCGGGCUCUGCGAUGUCUGCCCCCUGACCUCAGCCAGGACCUCCUCGCCCGUCCCGGUCGCACUGCUCCUCCUCGAGCUCCUCAGGCCUCCAUGGGGCACCCUGGCCCUUGGACUUCAGUGCCCUUGGCCUGGGGUCCCCGCUCCAGGCCUCGGCCUCCAUGGCCCUGCCUCCCCCUGGAACAUUUCCCUCCCUUUCUUGUGCGUCUCCCGCACGAGGACGUCCCCUCCUCGAGGCCCCUCAGCAGGCAUCCCGGCUCGGAGCAGGCAUUCUGCCCGUGGUAACCCUCUGCCUGCAGGAGCCUUCGAGUCGGAAGAGACGGGCCGUCCGGAGGAUGCUGGCGGGAGGUGCGCCCGUCCUGCAACAGGAGGAUGAGGCCGACCCAGACGUGUGAGUGGCCGGGGAGGCCAGUCCCAGCCUGAGUCUUUGUUCUCUGUUAUUUUAUGUCUUUUUUAAAUCUCUCCAACGAUCGUGAAGUCAGUUUAGGGCUUCUUAGUCUGUUCCAGCUGCUGCAGCAAAAAUGCCAUAAACUGAGCGGCUUGUAAACAGUAAACACAUAUUUCUCACUGUUCUGGAGGACGGGAGGUCCGAGAUCAGGGUGCAGGCAGGCUCGGUGUCUGGUGAGGGCCCGCUUCCUCACAGACAGUUGUUUUUGCACGAUAAUCUCACAUGGCAGGGGGACGGGGAGGGUCUCUCUCUCUCUUUUUUUUUUUUUUUGCUGAGGAAGAUUGGCCCUGAGCUAACUUCUGUUGCCAAUCCUCCUCUUUUUUUGCUUGAGGAAGAUUGUUGCUGAGCUAACAUCUGUGCCCAUCUUCCUCUACUUUGUAUGUGGGAUGCCGCCACAGCAUGGCUGAUGAGCGGAGCAGGACCACUCUGGGAUCUGAACCCACAAACCCUGGGCCGCGGAAGCAAAAUGUGCAAACUUCACCACUCUGCCACCAGGCUGGCCCCUUUACACAUUUUUAACAGCACGGCGGUGGUGUUCCUUGUCAAGGCAAGCAGCACGUGAUCUCCUUCUAGUGCAAUAUGCCUGGCAGCCCCGUCUCCUCUGUCCCCAUUUGUCUAAUCAUGCGAGCUCCCAGAUACACCCCCCCGUACCGGCCCUGGGAGGGAGAAGAAAGCACAGGCCCAGGAGUCGGGAGAGCUGCAUCUGGCUCUGUUUCUGCCACUGACUUGCUGUGUGACUUUGGGCAAGCCCCUGGCCCUCUCUGGGCCUCAAUUUCCAGAUCUGUGCACAUUGAGAGGAUUGGACUGGAGGACGUCUCUGGGCCUUUCCAGUCCUACAUCCUGUUCCAUUCUUUCCUAAAUUGAGAAAAUUAAAACCCUCCCUGAGGACGCCAAAGGCCUCCUGGAGCCAUCGCCCAUGCCAGCCCCCUCCCCAGAAGGAACCGCCAUCUCUCCGGGGUCCCCAUGUGCAUGCAUCUCCUGACCCCCUAACUCCUUCCCCCCCAUCCGCCCCCACCCCACAGGCCAGACCAUGAAGAGCAUCUUCAGUCGUCAUGGUGACAGAUACUGCUGGCUGCCCACCCAAUGGUCAUCACCUCCCCUUCCCUCACCUUGCCUUGGCUAAUAGAUCCCCAGUUUGGUUUUGGGUGGUGACAUGGCCCAUCCUGGGGCACUGAUCAUAAUUGCCCAAGCCAAUUGAUCUGUCCCAUCCCUCUUGUCAGUUACACGCUUGUUUGGCUAUGUGACAUCCCCCACCCACCCGCCACCUCCCUGCUCCAGCCAAGACUGCUUGGAGGAUUUCUGAAGAAAGUCAGUCAAUUAUCUCCUGCCACAGGAAUGCUGUGUAAGACGCAACCACCGAACCUUGGUGGAGGAUAAGAGUGAGCGUUUCCUGCUCGUGCCCCUGGAGUGAGCCGGGGGCGGGCUCAGUGGCUCUGCGGGUCUUGGCGGGGCUCGCUCGCAGGUCUGGCGAGUGGAGGUGUUGAGUGAGGGAGACUGGGCCUGGGCCGCUAGAGCAGCUCGACGGCUCCACGCGCCUCUCUCGCCCGCCUGCAAGCCAGCCCAGCCUCACAAGCCCAACUCAAGCUUCUGCUGGUGUCACGUCUCCUGAUGCCCCACCGGCCAGGGCUGAGCCCAGAGCCAGAGUAGGAGGGCGCCACCAAGUUUCAAGGCCAAGGCAUGGAUCCAGGGAAAAGAGGAGAACAGGGCAGUGUUUGCAAUCUACCAGAGAAACUCUUUCUGGAUAAAAAUAUCGAGACUCUAAGAAGAAAGGCUUUUGCUAUUGCUUUCUACCUUUCCCACUUGGGACAAUGGAGCAGAUACGUGAUGGUUGGAGCUGCAGCAGCCAUCUUGUGACCAUGAGGCAACAAGCAUGAGGAUCAAAAACAUGAGUACUCUGAGAACAGCAGAGCAGAAGGAUAUGAAAGCCUGAUGAUGUGGCUGAGCUGUGGAACCAUCCCUGGCCACCUACCUCCAGUCAUUGUUGGUUGAGUGUUAUUUUUUCCUGUAGCCAAACUCAUCCUAACAGAUAUCGCUUGAUUCUAGGGCUGCUGAGCAUGCCCUUUUUCAAGAAAUGCCUAUCUCUAUCCCAGCCUCUACCUCAGUGCUUGACAUUUGUAUUUUCCAAAUCUAGCCACAAAACAUGUCCCACUCCACAUGCUCUUUUUUUUUUUUUUUUUUUGGUGAGGAAGAUUGGCCCUGAUCUAAUAUCUAUGUCAAUCUUCCUCUAUUUUGUACGUGGGAUGCUGCCACAGCAUGGCUUGAUGAGGGGUGUGUGGUUCCAGCCUGGGAUCCAAAAGUGCAAAUCCCAGCUUGCCAAAGCAGAGGGCGCAAACCUAACCACUACACCACCAGGCCAGCCCCUCACAUGCUCUUCUUACAAUGUGACUUUGGCGUAUCUCCUGCUACGAGUUGGGGUUCUAGGUUCCUUACCCUUGAAUCCGGGCAGGCUUGGGUCUAUAGCAGAAGUGACCUGUUACAGGUUGAACGGUGUCCCUCCCCCACCCCAAAUUUCUCUAUUGGAGUCCCAACUCUCGACACCUCAGAAUGUAACCUUGCUCAGAAAUAGGGUUGGCGACCUCACACAAAGGAGACCCCUGGACACAGACGCGCACACGGGGAGAGAGCCAUGUGAAGGUGGAGGCAGAGAUGGGGGUGACGCAGCCACAGCAACGAACCCCAAGGUCGGCCAGCAAACCACGGGAGCUGGAGAGAGGCUGGACCGGGCUCCCCCUCGGCCUCGGGGGGACCAGCUGACACCUGCAUCCUGGACCUUGAGCCGCCGGAGUUAGAAGCGAGACAGUUAGUCUCGGUGCUUUAAGCCACGCGGUUUGCGGGACUUUGUCACCACAGGCCCACCCUGUCGCUGGAACAGAGUGUCGCCACGAGGACAACAGCCUUGCUGAGUUCUCUGGGUCCUUCCAGCAAACCCUUCACCCUGCGGGUGGCCUUGGGGACCCCGAGGUUCCGCCCAGCCCUUCACACGCUGGGUUGUCCCUCCCCGGUCACGCCUGCCCACCCACCCCGCCACGGCGCCAUCCCCACGCCCCGGGAGGAAGCCGCUGGGCUCUCAGCUCCCUUUCCCCAGGACGGAAGGAAAAGUCUGAGAACUCACUUACACUCGGGAUUCAACCACGAUUCUCAUUUGACUUCAUGUUGUUUUCAAUGACUUUAUUGAGGUCAUGUUGGUUUAUAACAUUGUGCAAUUUCAGGUGCACGUUAUUACAUAUCAGCUUCGGUGUAGACUGCAUCGUGCUCACCACUGAUGGUCUGGUUUUUAUCCAUCACUAUAUAUAUGCGCCCGUUUAUCUCUCUCACCUUACCCCCAGCCCCUUUCUCUCUGGUAACCACUAAUCUGUUCUCUUUAUCCGUGUAUUUUUUAUCUUCCACAUAGGAGUGAAAUCACAUGGCGUUUGUCUUUCUCUGUCUGGCUUAUUUCGCUUAAUGUCAUUCCCUCAAGGUCCAUCCAUGUUGUUGCAAAUGGGACGAUUCUGUCCUUUUUAUGGCUGAGUAGUAUUCCACUCUCUCUCUAUACCAUGUCUUUGUUAUCCAUUCAUCCAUAGAGGGGAACUUAGGUUGUUUCCACAUCUUGGCCAUUGUGAAUAAUGCUGCUGUGAACCUAGGGGAGCAUGAGUCUCUUUCCCUGAUUCUUUUUUUUUUUUGAGGAAGAUUAGCCAAUCCUCCUCUUUUUGCUGAGGAAGACUGGCCCUGAGCUAACAGCGUGCCCAUCGUCCUCUACUUUAUACAUGGGACGCCUACCACAGCAUGGCGUGCCAAGUGGUGCCAUGUCCGCACCCGGGAUCUGAACCAGCGAACCCCGGGCCACCAAAAUGGAACAUGUGCACUUAACCCCUGCACCACCAGGCCAGCCUCUCCUUGAUUCUUAUUUUAAGAGCCUCGAGCUGGUAGGAUGGAAGGAUGGGGGUCAAGCAAGUGAGAAAUGAAGGGGAGACCAGCGGAGCCGGGAAAAUCCCAGUGUUCCGGCUCACAUUCCAGGGUCGUCUUCCUGGGGCCCCGGGGAUGUCACUCCAGACGCAGACAGGGGCCCCUGCACUGUUCAGAAUGCCGCUCGUGCAACGGCUCUCACGCUUGAGUGACUGUCCCCUCGGGGACAUUCUGGGUGCCCCAAGGCAGGAAGGGGUGCUCGGGCCUCUGGUGGGUGAAGGCCAGGGGGGUGCUGACACCCGACGGUGCACAGGCCCCCGCGGCACAGGGCGACCUGAGCCCCAGGGUCAGGAGGUGGAGGCCAGGAGCUCCCCACAGCCAACCGAACAAAGUCCAAAAUCUCCCGCACUGUCAUGGGCCGUUGAAGUCGCCUCUUCUGUGAAAUGAGCCGUGGAAGCUGAGCUCCUCCUUCAGAAUCAACCGAAAGCUGCCAGUGUUGUUUUUCCAGUGUUUGGGGCCGCGUGAUUUCCCAACACUGAUUUCCUACGUGCCAGACCCUGCUGGGUUACGAGAGACACAGAGAUGAGUAACAGAGUGUCUUACGUCUGGAUUUGGCAAGACGGUCAGAUACCAAGGGACUGAGGAUUUUUAAUCUACUCGUUCAACCGAGAAGUAUUUACUGAACACCCGUGGUGGUGAAAACGAUGGGCUUGUCCCCACCUCCGCCUCUGCCCAGCUGUGCAGCCUUGAGAAAGUGACUUAACCUCUCUGAGCCGGAUUCCUCAUCUGGAAAAUAGGGAGGAUGAGAAUAUUUCUAUCUCAUCAAGAGGUUGUGAGGAGUGAGUUAAAAGAAGCAGAGCUUGAUAACUGUUUCCUAUUUCUAUUAUAUAUUAUAAUUAGGGCAACCCACAGUCCCAGUUUGCCUGGAGUUGAGGAGUUUCCAGGGACACGGGGCUUUCAGGGCUAAAAUCAGGAAAGUUCUGGGCCCAUUGGGAUGUUGGUCAUCCUGAUAUAAUUAUAUAUUAUUACUAAUAGUAUUUAUUAUUAUUAUUAUUAUUAUUAUAGCUGAUGAUGUCUUGACAAGUGCUGCGGGGGACGGACUGUUGAAUGAGGCCAGGUCACGCUUGCAAGGAGCAUGCGGUCUGGUAGGAGAAGCAGAAGAGUUACAAAAACAGAGAAUAGAAUAAUGAGAUGGGGGCCGGCCCGGGGCCGAGUGGUUAAGUUCGUGCGCUCUGCUUCAGUGGCCCAGGGUCUCGUCAGUUCGGAUCCUGAGCACGGACAUGGCACCACUCGUCAGGCCAUGCUGAGGCGGCGUCCCACAUGCCACAACUAGAAGGACCCACAACUAAAAAUACACAACUUUGUACCAGGGGGCUUUGGGGAGAAGCAGAAAAAAAGAGGAAGAUGGGCACAGAUGUUAGCUCAGGGCUAAUCUUCCUCAGCAAAACAAAACAAAACAAAAAAAAAGAGUGUACAAUUCAGGGGCAUUUUGUACAAUUACAACGUUGAACAACCAUCACUCCUAUCUAGUUCCAGAACAUUUUCAUCCCCCUAAAAGGAAACCCCUUACUCAUUAAAUAGUCACUCCACAUUCCCCGACCCCCAUCUCGGGGCAACCCCUAAUCUACUUGCUGUCUCUCUGGAUUUGCCUGUUCUGGACAUUUCACAUAAAUGGAACCAUGUGGUCGAUGACCUUGUGUGUCCGGCUUCUUUCACUCAGUGGGAUGUUUUCAAGGUUCAUCCAUGUUGUAGCAUCUAUGAGAGCUUCGCUCCUUUUCACGGCUGCAUAAUAUUCCACCGUAUGGCUAUACCAUGUUCCAUUUAUCCAUUCACCUGUGGAUGGGCAUGUGGGUUGUUUCCACCUUUUGGCUAUCAUGGCUGGCGCUGACUCGAGUUUUUUAAGGCAUUUUUCUCCAGGAGGGCUGUCUUGAUGGGAAAUGCCCCUCCACACACCAACCUUAAAAAUAGGUCUCCACUUAAAAACAGGGGAAAAAGGCCAUUUGCACAGAUGCCAGCGUCUCCUCCAGACAGGGAGAAGCUGCCAUUUUGAGGCUGGUUCUGGUGACCUUCCGCCUCCCACUGCUUUCCUCCUGUGGGUGUCACCGGGGUUGGAGAUGCGUGGCCCGUGUGAGACUGGAAGCCCUCCCACAGGCGGGAAUUCUCAGUCUGUUCUGGGCACAUGGUGAGCACCUGGCAAACCAGUAUGUGAUAGUGAAGCACAGGCACAGAUCCCUCUCUGAGAUUUUCUAGCCUUUUUUUUUUUUUUUUUUUUUUUUUUUUUUGCUGAGGAAGAUUGGUCCUCAGCUAACAUCUAUGCUGAUCUUCCUCUGUUUUACAUCGGAUGCGGCCACAGUGUGGCUUGACGAGCAGUGCUAGGUCCACACCCAGGAUCCAAACCUAUGAACCCCAGGCCGCCAAAGCAGAGCACACAAACUCAACCACUACACCACCAGCCCAGCCCUCUUAAAAAUUUUUUAAAAUGAAAUAUUGAGCAGAUAUUUAAAAAAAUAAAAUAUAUAUAAGAUAUAAAGAAUAAGAACAAAAUAAAUAUCCAUGGGCCCCUCACUCAAUUUAAGAAAAAACUUCCGCAUCCUCUGAAGCUCCCCUGGGGGCCCUUCUCCGUCUCAUUCCCCUCCCUCGCCCCUCAGAGGUAACCACUUUGCUAAACCUUGUGUUUGUCUUCCCCUCACUUUUAAAAGAUAAUCUACAAUAUAUUUGUGUCCCUAAACUGUACCCUGUGUGGUUUCGUCCGUGUUUUGAAAUUUUAUAAGCACAUCUGUAUUGUCGUGUGUAACUGAAAGCAACUGAUUUUUCACAGCUGUAUAAUAUUCCAUUGAAUAAAUAUAUCACGAUUUAACCAG